GACGAACGCUGGCGGCGUGCUUAACACAUGCAAGUCGAGCGGAAAGGCUCCUUCGGGGGUACUCGAGCGGCGAACGGGUGAGUAACACGUGAGUAAUCUGCCCUUGGCUUUGGGAUAACUACCGGAAACGGUGGCUAAUACCGGAUACGACCACUCCUUGCAUGAGGUGGUGGUGGAAAGUUUUUUCGGCCAGGGAUGUGCUCGCGGCCUAUCAGCUUGUUGGUGGGGUAAUGGCCUACCAAGGCUUCGACGGGUAGCCGGCCUGAGAGGGUGACCGGCCACACUGGGACUGAGACACGGCCCAGACUCCUACGGGAGGCAGCAGUGGGGAAUAUUGGACAAUGGGCGGAAGCCUGAUCCAGCAACGCCGCGUGAGGGAUGACGGCCUUCGGUUGUAAACCGUCUUUCAGUACCGACGAAGCGCCGAUGAUGGUGGUG
rnacentral:rRNA from 1 species